AAUUGAAAUGAAAUUAACCUUUGAGUUGACUAUACUAAAAGAAUAAUUCAUUCAAAGACUGCAAUUUAUCUCGCAUCUCGUGGCAAGGAGUUACCUGAAAGUGAUGGGAUUUCUUCACGAAAAAACGCCACUCAUCCUUGACAUUACUUGRUUGUUCAUUGUCCCGAUCUCUGGGUUUUUUUCUWUGAUCGACGAAUGUUUUCAAUUCGAGGUUGAAGAAAAAUACGCCGUUAGCUCAUUCCAAAUGACGACAUGAGGGCGUGGUUGGUGUGAUGGAUGGGAGAUUGAUUACACAUUGAUGUGUUAUCAACGUUGUAUCAACAWUGUGAUGUGACGACGAAGAAAGACUGCAUGCGUGUGAAAAUCCACAUGGAUGUUAGUAGAYAUAUAGCUGUAAUAUAUCAAACAACUUUUCUGUUGCUUAAAGUGCAUAUGACACCAUUAGAGAUUCAUUCUCAUGUGCAAAAGAGAAAAUGCUGCUAAGUACAUCUGUGA